rnacentral:misc_RNA from 1 species
CGGAAGUUUUUGUUGAUGGAACCAUUAAUAUACAUGGCUGAGGCCCUUUCAGACACUUUCUUGACGCAUCAGCUAUCUGGGUACAUCAGUUGUGAGUUGUGAAGUGAAAAGCAGAUGUGUAAAUAUUGAAAUAUCUCCAGAGCUGAAUUGCUUAUUGUAUCAGUCCAUCGGCUAUAUAGCUGUGCUAGUAACACCUUCACCCAAUUCCAUGUAAUGUCUUUGCCUGCUGUCAUCAACUUCUGCUGGAUCCCCAGGCACUAUUCUCUUCCAGAACCAGUGCUUUCUCCAGAGAAAUAUCAUCUCUUCGAUGGGAACUCCAUUGGUUUCAGGCAGGAAUAAGUAAACAAAGAUGGUCAUGACAGUAAUCCAACCAGAAAAGAAGAGGAAGAUCCCAAACUUCAAUGAACAAAGGAGGGAAAGGAAAGACUGUGCUAUGAUGAAAGUGAAGAGAAGGUUUACAGCAACUGUUAUGCUCUGCCCAGCUGAUCGUGUUUCGAGUGGAAAUAUUUCACUUGGCACCGUCCAGCCAAGCGGACCCCACGACCAUCCGAAAGCUACCACAAAGAGGCAAAUCACAACCACAACCAACACUGAGAAGCCUUUUGAUAGCUGCUGGUUGUCUCCAAAUUUCAGCCCCAAGAUUAUAGCCACUAUUACCUGGCAUGUAAUCAUCUGUAUCCCGCCACUGAUAAGCAAAAAUCUUCUACCCAAUCUGUCAACUGUUAAUAUAGAGAUGAAGGUAGAGGAACAGAGCACUGCUCCAGUCAGAGCUGAGGAGUAGAGGGAAGCAUUUCCUCCAAAUCCCAUGCUCUGGAACAGCACUGGAGCAUAGAAGAGAAUUGAAUUUAUGCCUGUUAAGAUCUGGAAUGUUGGCAUGAAGAUUGCCAUAACCAAUUGUGGUCUGUUCCUCCUUUCCAGGAUGUUUCUGAAGGGAUGCUUGAUUGAUUUAGCCAGCUCACUAGCAUCUAGCAUGUCCUCAAAUUCUGCAUCGACAUUUUUGGUUCCUCUGAUCUUCUCUAAUAUUUUCCUCCCUCUCUCAUUAAACCCCUGUUCGAUUAAACUGUUCGGUGUCUCAGGCAGAAAUAUCCCUCCCACAGUCAUCAAUAGAGCUGGGACUGCUGCUAGUCCCAGAGAAAGCCUCCAUCCCCAUGGUCUAAGCUUUUGUGUUCCAUAAUUGACCAUGUUUGCUGUAAAGAUCCCAGUGGUAGUUGCUAGCUGAAACAUAAUGUUUAGUCCUCCACGAAGGUGAGUCGGUGCCAUCUCUGAUAAGUAUACUGGAACAGCCUGAUUUCCAAAUCCAAUGCCAAUACCCAGCAUAAUCCUGCCUAAGAGAAGCAUUGCCAGGUUAAUAGCUCCGGCAUUUAGUGCUGCUCCAAUAAGAAAGCUAAUGCCUCCGCAAAUUAUACUCGCACGUCGUCCAUAUAUUCUAGUAACAGGACCUGCCAUCAGAGAUGCAGCCAGACCAGCGAGGUAUAGAGAAGAGGUAAAAGCUGCCAGCCCUUGGUCAUCAUACUUGCAGUAAUUGUUUUCAUGUGCAUGUUGCUUCCUUAAAUAUACCCUAUGGAAAAAUUUCCGAAGAAAUUCAUCCAUUGAUGUCACUCCUCCUGAAAUUCCANNNNNNNNNNAUAUCAUAUCCAAAGAUUGACCCCCCAACAGCAGCAACAACACAAGCAAUGAUCACAGAUAAGGUAACUCUCCCUUGAUAUUGCUCUGCUCUCUCCUUGGCCACACCGGCCGGCGCUAGGGCUCCUCCUGCCAUCUUCCAAAGCUCUUAUUUUCUCUUCUCCAGAGUUAACAGGGCUGGAUAUCAAUUUUCUCUCAAUUUUUGCCGGAAAAUAUAAUAAACGUUUGUGAUUGAAAUGAAGAGAGGCCAACCACCAACUUAACUCACUGGGAUUUGAAAAUUCGCAUGUGAGAUUUCAAUCUUGGCAAGGAAAAACAAGUGGGGUUUCCAUAUGUGUUAGCUGGCCGAUCCAGAAAUAGAAUUUCUUGAAUCUUUCUUCCAAAAAAGAAAAUUAUUGGUUUGUUGAUGCA